UAUCAGAGGGAUGAAGCAGAUGUAACAGAGCUAGAAUUUUACAAAGCUCCUGAUUCUCUGUUCCGUGCUCCGCUCAUCAGCAGAUGACUUCCGAGCAGAUGAACUCUGCAGAGAUAGAUUUCAAGGAGGCACUGCGCUAUCUUGACAGGGUAUCUCAUGUAGCCAAGUCUGGCUUCGAACCCUCAGUUAGCUGACAUGGAACUGGAACUCCUGAACACCCCACCUCAACCUCCAAGCGCUGAUUACAGGAUUCGAACCAAGACAUAAAUGAGGGGAAUAAAGAGAAUAAAUCCUCAGUUGGUGGGCA